rnacentral:tRNA from 1 species
GGAAGGGGAUCGCUUCCCGGUGGAGCGCCCGGACUUCAAAUCCGGUGAGGUGCGCAACGCGUGCCUGGUGGGUUCGACUCCCAUACCCUUCCGCCA